GACAGCGACUCAGCAGUGGCAGGAAGAAGGCUGUGUAGGCUGUCGGGAGAACGGAAAGAGGUGAACUUCCUGCGACUCGGGCUUGGCGCCCGGCUGCCUGCCGUCCUGAGCUCCUUGGUCUCCCCUGACAGGGAGGGAAGCCCGGCUACUCCAGAGGAUGAGCAGGGAGAGCCUGCAAGGCCUUUCGGACUAUACAUCAGACGAGCAAAAGAUCGGAAUCGUCCACCUUGUACCCAUUCACGUAUACAAGAAUAUUCCCUGUCACUUCCGAUCAGUUGGGAAUAACUGCUCAGGAUGAACAGACUGCUGCGGCCAUCCCAGUCGUGUCUUGGCACACACAAACGCACACAGAAGACCAACAGACGCAGACACGCGGUCGUCCGCUGCUGCCCGCACCGCCUGGUCUCACUUUUCGUGUUCAACACCCCGUGUAUAUUUUCCACGAGAAUAUACGGCCUACUUCAUUCUUCAUGAUGACUGUGUAGGGUUCCACUGCGCAAAACAAACAACUCUCCCCACUCCUCACUGACAAAUUUUGUUUCCAAAGCCUUCGGUUUCACACAUAUAUCUUUGUGGACUUGUUAGAGUUUUCUUUUCGUGUGGGGUAGAUUUUCAGAAGCGGAAUUUCUGAGUCAAACAUAUACCAAAAAAAUAAAAGAAAAGAAAAAAGCAACAAAACAAAACAAACCCAAAACAAAACCACCCAGGGCAGCACGUGUCUGUGUCUAAUCCCUGCACUCUGAGAGGUUGAGGCCAAGAGGCCAACUUGGGCAAUUUAGAGCCUCAGCAAGAUCCUGCCUCGGGAUAAAAAUAAAUUCUCAAAAAAAGGGGGAUUGAUGGUGGCUCACGCCUGUAAUCCCAGCACUGGGGAGGCUGAGGCAAGAGGAUCGUUGUGAGUUUGAGACCAGCCUGGGCUACAAAGUGAGCUCAAGGCCAGCCUGAAACUGCAUAGAGACCCUGUCUCAAAAAGACAAAAAAAAGUGUGUGGGGGGGAUUGAGAUGUAGCUCAGUGCAGAGGCCUUGGGUUCAAUCCCUAGUGCUGGAAACAAAUAUGUAAGUCCCACCCCCUGCCAGGGGACUGAACCCCGGGCCCAGGCAGUGGGCUCCAACCUAAGUGCUGGAAUGACAGGCGUGUGCCACCAAGUCCAUCUGACAUCACUUAAAAAAAGAAAUAGAACCACCCACAGCCUUCUGGGCUCAAGUAAUCCUCCUGCCCCGGCCUCCUGAGUGGCUGGCAGUACAGGGUAUGUGCUGCCACACCCAGCUUUGGAAAUUACAUUUUGAGUCAGGCGUGAGGCAGAGCUCUUUUUUUCUCUACAUGAGCCAAGUGUUCCAUCAUGUAUUACAUAUCUCAUCACUCUCUAGUAUUUGAAAUGUUAGUAUCAAUUUAGCAGUAAAGAUCAACUUUUCUCAAUGUUCAUUAAUUACUAUAUUUCAUACAGGAAAAAAUAAAAAUGAAAAAAUUUUGUGGAAGGA